CCUACGGGUGGCAGCAGUGGGGGAUAUUGCACAAUGGGGGAAACCCUGAUGCAGCGACGCCGCGUGUGGGAAGACGGUCUUCUGGAUUGUAAACCACUGUCCCCAGGGACGAAAAUGACGGUACCUGGGGUGGAAGCUCCGGCUAACUACGUGCCAGAAGCCGCGGUAAGACGUAGGGAGCAAGCGUUGUCCGGAUUUACUGGGUGUAAAGGGAGCGUAGGGGGGGAUGCAAGUUGGGUGUAAAAACUACCGGUUCAACCGAGAGUCGCACUCAAAACUGCAGCGCUUGAGUGAAGUAGAGGCAGGCGGAAUGCAUGGUGUAGCGGUGAAAUGCGUAGAUAUCAGGAGGAACACCAGUGGCGAAGGCGGCCUGCUGGGCUUUUACUGACGCUGAGGCUCGAAAGUGUGGGGAGCAAACAGGAUUAGAUACCCUGGUAGUC
rnacentral:rRNA from 1 species